UAAUCGGGGUUGCGGACAGUGUCUGGUGGGUAGUUUGACUGGGGCGGUCUCCUCCUAAAGAGUAACGGAGGAGCACGAAGGUUGGCUAAUCCUGGUCGGACAUCAGGAGGUUAGUGCAAUGGCAUAAGCCAGCUUGACUGCGAGCGUGACGGCGCGAGCAGGUGCGAAAGCAGGUCAUAGUGAUCCGGUGGUUCUGAAUGGAAGGGCCAUCGCUCAACGGAUAAAAGGUACUCCGGGGAUAACAGGCUGAUACCGCCCAAGAGUUCAUAUCGACGGCGGUGUUUGGCACCUCGAUGUCGGCUCAUCACAUCCUGGGGCUGAAGUAGGUCCCAAGGGUAUGGCUGUUCGCCAUUUAAAGUGGUACGCGAGCUGGGUUUAGAACGUCGUGAGACAGUUCGGUCCCUAUCUGCCGUGGGCGCUGGAGAACUGAGGGGGGCUGCUCCUAGUACGAGAGGACCGGAGUGGACGCAUCACUGGUGUUCGGGUUGUCAUGCCAAUGGCACUGCCCGGUAGCUAAAUGCGGAAGAGAUAAGUGCUGAAAGCAUCUAAGCACGAAACUUGCCCCGAGAUGAGUUCUCCCUGACUCCUUGAGAGUCCUGAAGGAACGUUGAAGACGACGACGUUGAUAGGCCGGGUGUGUAAGCGCAGCGAUGCGUUGAGCUAACCGGUACUAAUGAACCGUGAGGCUUAACCUU
rnacentral:rRNA from 1 species